AACAAUUUAUGCACACAUAAACAAAUAUCAAAAAAAAAAAUAGUUUUCGGUAUAUGACUGGGGGGCAACGAUACGACCUUUGGGGGUCAUCAGAGUCAGUUGCCACCCAAUUAUAUUAAAUAAGCAUAAGAAUAACAGGUUCGUGUCAAUAUUUCAAUGUCUCUCACGAUUUAUACUAUGUACAAUAUUUACAUGAAUUUACUAUUCUUAAUUAUGGAAGCAUUCUUUUAAAUAAUAGGAUUUUGCACAAAUUGAAAUUAUAUUGCAAAAUAUAAAAUGAUCAAAACGAAAAAAAGUGGGAAAGCAGGUCAGACAAGCUACCCCUUAUUUGGGUAACUUUGUUUUAUUGAAUGAAUUUAAGUUAAACAUAACAAGUGGGAUUUUGAACAAGCGAAUAUGGGUAGAGUUCUAUUCUACACACACUAGUGCAAUGUAAUCAGAUGCAUGGGUUGAGUCAUCAAAACAAAUUAGAAUUUGGUUUAAACAACAAAAAAAUGCAUUUCAAAAAUGCAAUACAUUGUAAACUUUGUAUAAACAAACAAUCGAUAUUAAAAUAUCAAGAAAGUUAAUGCAAAAACAAAACAGUUGACUUAAUGUAGGAAUAAAUAAGAUUCAAUAUUUCAUAACACUAUGUGAAAUGAUUCAGAACACUUUAAAAAUAAACAUCAAAUAUUAGUGUUUGUACAUAGAAAUAGAACAAUUCAUAAAUCAAGGCCAUUUAUCCAGAUUUUUACACUAAUUGGUAGUAAAUGGAUUAAUUUAUCAUAGAUUAGCCAGGGAUCUCAAUAGGAAAGUAUUGAGAUAUCGUUGGUAGGUCAAAGGUUGAUGAAAAAGAGCUAAUAACUUAGCAUAUUAACUUCAUAAGAUAGAAAAAUUGAGUGGAACAUUUUAUUACACAAUUAGGGACUCUUUUACAUGAGAGCAUUUAAUAAUAGCAAUCAAAAAAUAAAUCAAAUAAAGAGCUCAUGUCAACAAGGAAAUAUCAUGAAUGCAUAAAAGCUUGGCAUAUUAAAUUUAUAAUAUAGAAAAAAAGAAUGUAACAUUUUGUAAUAUGAUUUGGGACACUUCAAAUGUGAUAUUAAUAGUAGUUAUCAAAUAUAGAGAUAAAGAGCACAUGUUAGCGAGGAAGUAACUUGAAGGUAGAUAUAAGGUUGGCAUAACUCUAUAAAAUGGAAAAUGAGAAAUGUAACAUUUAUAACUUGAUUUCGAAUACUUUGAAUAUGAACAUUAAAUAAUAGUAAUAGAGUAUAAGAAAAAAUCAAAUAAAGAGCUCAUGUCAACAAGGAAAUAUCAUGAAUGCAAUACAAGAUUGGCUCAUUAACUUUAUGAUAUAGAAAAUAAAGAAUGGAACAUGAUUUGGGUCACUAUAAAUGAAAUAUUACGGUAGUUAUCAAAUAUAUAAAUAAAAAUAAAGAGCACACGUUGCCGAACAAGUAACAUGUAUGUAAUAUAAGCUUGGCUUAACUUUAUAAAUGGAGAAUGAAGAAUGUAACCAUUUUUUAAACACAAUUUUAGACAAUUUGGAAAUUAACAAUUAAUAAUAGUAAUCUAAUAUAAAAAAAAAAAAAUAGCUCAUUUUGCCAAGGUAUCAAUAUCCUGAAUGAAAUUUUGGUUUUAGAGUUUUAAAAUAGAACUCGCAAUAUGUACAAUUUGUAGAUAUAGUGAAGGAUUGCAAACAUAAAAAAACAGUAGUCUUCAAAAUCACAAUGAGAUAUCAACAACAAUUCACUGCGAAGACACAAGUCAGAUAUAUUGGAAUUGCAAGUGUAUAUGAACAACAACAAUUCACUGUGAAUACACAAGUCAGGCAUAUUGGAAUUGCAAGUGUAUAUGGAUUAAAGGAUACAGUGUAUAUUUACCCCUGACUAGGCUAGGACCAAAUCGACAAACAUCAAACUUCAGCAAGGAAUUUAAGUUACAUCAAAGAUUGUUUUAUAUAUAACUGCCUCAGAAUCAACUCUGUUCCAACACAUGAUCCAACUUUUAUUAGAUAAUUUCAUUUAAAAUCGAUAAAGCAAAUACCAUUAGGAGCAAACAUAAUUGGGUCAUUUAUAUAUAGAAAUAUAGAAAGUAAAUUAACAUGUAAUAAGAAGGAAUGAAACCCAAUAUUUAAUAACAGUAUAUUAAGAAUACUUUGAAAAUGUAGAUCAGCACUGAUUUGCAAUAGAAUGCAUAGCCAAGGAACUUUUGGGCUUGCAUAUUAAGAAAGUGACAUGAAUAUUAAUUACACAUUGCACAUAAAUAAUUCAAUGAAGCAUGAUACUAGUUCACAGUAUAAUUUGAUGUAAAACUUGGAAGUGUUGGAUUCAGAGUCAUCACUACUGAGUUGCAGAAGAUUGUAAGAUUGCAUAUGCAUGGAAUAGAAGUAUAACGGUGGGAUGGAAAUUGAAAUAUUUUGCAUAGGAAAUCAGUGACAUGUGUAUAGAUUACAUAUUUCUACAUGUAUAGAGAACACCACUGAAUACUAUUGUGAAGUACAAUACCAAAUCAUAUGUUAAUUUAAUCAAAUGAACCGAAUGAACUCUUCAAUUUGAAAAAUCCACAUGACAAUAGACAGACAAAAGGAUAGAAAUGAUCUCUUGACUGAACUCAUCUGUACAAAUAAGUAAAUAUUUAUUUAGCUAUGGAAACCUUAUCAAUUACAAUCAAUAUUUGGAUAUGAUGUGUUUCAUAAGUUCAUCUUUGAAUUUUUUAUACGAAUAUGUCUUGAAAAUAGCGGGUAUUUCAUUCCAAAUAUUGGGGCCAGCAAUGUUUAUCAAAUUUUGGGUAAAUUUGAAAUUGGUUCAAGAAAUGAAGAAUGCUCCUUUAGAUGCCGAACGAGUGUUAAAUGGAUGGACAACAUACUUUUUCAUGGUAGAAUUAUAUAUGCACAGCAAUUGACAGCAUUAUAGAAACAGUAAUAAAUAAUAAUUGUGAACAAAUUUUGAUGUUUCACCAACAUAUAAUAUAUAUGAAAAAUGGUUUAUGUGCAUAUUGAUACAAAUACUGAAUUACAUAACAUAGCGAAAGUUGUAAUUAAAGAUGAUAUUUUAGUUAGGUAAGAUAGUAGAAUCAAAAUGUGACAAGGAAAUCUGGUCACAGGUCGUUAUCUAUAAUAAGGAUUGGUUCACCCUGGUAGAUUAUGAGCUGAUAUUCAAUUAUGAUAUACCUACAACAAGAUAAAAUGGAUUUCAUACUUGAAUGACAGUAUUACAAUUUGGACAUGAACCUGGCACAAAUAUGGGCUUUUGCAGUAUAAUGCCUUGGUUGCAAUCUUAAAAGCAUAGCUAUAUUCAAAAACAGUCAGUAAGAUGAACAUUGCAAUAACAGUAUGUAUAAAUUAAAAUAAGCAUGCAAAUAUUGGCAAUUAAUGAAGGCUAUUACCAUAUGCUACUAGAGUGAUUUCAAAAUUUUGGGGAAAAUCAAAAUUUAUAUACAGCUGCAUAGGGUAAAAUGCUACUAUGGCAUUGAUUCAAAAUUUUUGGGAAAAUCAAAAAUUAUAUACAGCUGUAUUGGGUAUGCAUUGCAGGCACAUUAAUUUAAAAGUCGUUGGACAGUCUAUAAAUGGAUAUGAACAUGGCACAAAUAUAGGCAUAGUUUGAUACUGGUAAAUGGUUCAUAAGUUGGCAUCAAUUUGCAGGUACUACUAAUUAUAGUAGUAGAUUACAAUACAAUAGGCAGAAAACCAGAUAUAACUAGACUCCUUGACACUUAUCUACUGGAGUCAUCAGUAUCCAGUAAAGUAGAGCUGGCACCUUCAUUAAUUAAUAUUUGGAUAUAAUGUGCUUCAUGUACUCAAAUUUAAAUUUUUUAUACGAAAGUGCCUUAAGAUUAUCAGGAAUAUUAUUCCAGAUUCUGGGUCCAGUAAUUUUGAUUGAAUUUUGAGCGAAUUUUGAAUUUGUGCGAGAAAUAAAGAAUGCACCUUUUGUUGCAGACCGAGUUCCAUAUGAAUGCACAGAACUACAGUCUGUGAAAUACGAAUUGAAUGCUACUGGAAGCAUGUCAUGCCUAAAUUGGAACAUUAACUUUGCAACCUCAUAAAUAAAAACAUCAUUUAAUUUAAGAAGAUUCAUGCGCCUGUAAACAGGACUCAUACUAUGCAGCAAAGGAGUACUUGUCAUAAUGCGAAGAGCUCGAUUUUGUAAAACUGAUAAAGCGUGGAGUCUACUUUUAUCUGCAGAGCCCCAUGCCACAAUUCCAUACUGAAGUUUAACUUUUCUGGACAAAUCAGUGACACUAGAAGAUAUGGACGUUGUGCUCGUGUCAUCAGCAAAAAGUUUGACAAUUGCUGGAGUACUGUUUACCACAUCAUUUAUGUAUACCAGGAACAGGGUCGGGCCAAGAACCGAGCCCUGUGGCACGCCUACAUGAACGCGUUCGCGAGUGACAGAGGAAUCCUCCAUAAACAUGGACAACUUGUUUGGCGAACCCAUGAAUUGGAGGUGUUCGUUGUCAUUCACAGUAUGGAAAGCAGAAGACAAAUUUAGUCCAAUUUGAGAAAAAUAACUGUUAAACAUAUGAGAAAUUUUUUCACUGUCACGCACAAUCUCUCCAGAGAGUUGAUUGACUAGCUUUUGCGGAAUGCCUUUAUUUGAUUUUGAGUUUAAUAAAGAAUUGAUAGUACUCCAAGUCUUUUUUGGGUUGUUUUUAUUAUUUUCGAAACAGUUAGCGAAAUAUGUCUCUUUAGCUUUUUGCUUCAGAUGACACAAUUUGUUGGCAUAUGUUUUGUAGUAAAGUUUUUGUUCCAUGGAGCCCUUAAUAAAAUGAGAUUUAUGUAACUUAUCCCUGAUUUUAGUUGAGCGCAGAAUGCCAUUUGUUAUCCAAGGUUUCCUUUCUAGUCGGCGUUCUUUUCUAGUUAACUUUCUUAGUGGUGCAUGUUUAUCACAUACAUUUAAAAUUUUGGUAAUAAAAUUGCUAAAGUAUGAAUUGAAAUUUUCAGCAUUAAUACUAAUAGGGUCAUGCGAGUAAAAAAGUUCAUGGGCAUCUUGAAUGAAUUUAGCUGAA